GUAGCAGCCUCCGCAGGUCCUGGCGGAAGCGCAGGCCCAGGAAGGCGUAGAGAACGGGAUUGAGGCCACAGCGGGCGAGGGCCAAGCCGCUGGUCACCAGCAGUGCGACAUCCUUGCGUUUGCUGGCAGGGCAGCUCCGCUCGCGCGCAGCCAGUAGAUCGGCAGUAUCCAGCAGCAGGGCGAGGCUGUAGGGCAGCUGCAGCACCACGAAGGCCGCCACCAGAGCCACCACGACGCGCAGCGCACGCCGGCGCUCGGGCCCCCUGGCGGCCAGCAGCGUGCGGCCCAGAAGCGCGUAGCAGGCUACCAUGACGCCCAGCGGCAGCGCGAAGCCCAGGGCCACCUGCGCCACGGCGCUCGCCCCCUUCACCGUCUGCGUGAGGCCCUCGGGGAAGAUGAGGCGACAGCGUCGUUGGCCUUCCCGCUGCCCAUCCUGGCUGAAGAGCAGCGCAGGCAGCGCCAGGAGCAGUGACAGCAGCCACACGAUGACGGAGACC
rnacentral:lncRNA from 1 species